AUACGUAGGGUGCAAGCGUUAAUCGGAAUUACUGGGCGUAAAGCGUGCGCAGGCGGUUUUGUAAGACAGUGGUGAAAUCCCCGGGCUCAACCUGGGAACUGCCAUUGUGACUGCAAGGCUGGAGGGCGGCAGAGGGGGAUGGAAUUCCGCGUGUAGCAGUGAAAUGCGUAGGUAUGCGGAGGAACACCGAUGGCGAAGGCAAUCCCCUGGGCCUGCACUGACGCGCAUGCACGAAAGCGGGGGGAGCAAACAGGAUUAGAUACCCUGGUAGUCCACGCCCUAAACGAUGUCAACUGGUUGUUGGGGAUUUAUUUUCUCAGUAACGAAGCUAACGCGUGAAGUGGACCGCCUGGGGAGUACGGCCGCAAGGUUAAAACUCAAAGGAAUUGACGGGG
rnacentral:rRNA from 1 species